rnacentral:lncRNA from 1 species
CACAAUCUGCAUCCCAAAUUAUUUCAAUACAUUAAUAGUAACUGGCAAUGCAUGCUUUCAAGCUUAAACGUAACCACAGAGGCUAAUAAUAUGAUAAAUUAGUGCCAUCCAAAAUCGCCCAGAGUUUAACGAAGCUAAAUGGGUUCACAAACGGAAUUGGAUGACAUAAAUAAUCACACCAGGUUCCUAUUUCUCCCACAAAUAAUCACACCAGGUUCCUAUAUCUCCCACAUUGAUCUAUUUCCUCGAAUGACUAGCGGUACAAUAUGCAAACAAGCAUUGCUACUGACGAGAAUAAUCGCGGAGCAACCUCACCUCACUCUUCAGAAAAGCAGGAAGUGCAAAAGCAGCCGAAUGUAUCU